AUGUCUGAGUCCUUAAAUUCUCCUUCAAUUCUCACUAGUAAACCUCCCGGUCCUCUUCUUGAGAAUAAUCAUCCCAUGCUUACAAGGGCUAAGACAGGAAAUUCCAAACCAAAAGCUUGCACUGCUCAUACAAGUUAUGAACCUACCAGUACUAAACAAGCUAUGUCUAUUCCUGAAUGGUCUAAUGCCAUGAAAGAGGAGUUUCAUGCUCUCCAGACUAACAACACCCGGGUCCUUACAUCUCUACCAGCUAAUAGGAAAGUAGUGGGAUAUAGUUGGGUAUUCAAAUUUAAACACAAUCCUGAUGGUAGCAUCCUUAAACAAAAAGCUAGACUUAUUGCUAAAGGGUAA